rnacentral:pre_miRNA from 1 species
UCAUUCCUUCAGUGUUGAAACAAUCUCUGCUGAACCAGGCUCCAAACUACGUUCACUGGAGUUUGUUUCAAUAUUGCAAGAAUGA